UGAGGAAUAUUGCACAAUGGGGGCAACCCUGAUGCAGCAACGCCGCGUGGAGGAUGAAGGCUUUUGAGUUGUAAACUCCUUUUCUGAGGGAAGAGUAAGGACGGUACCUCCGGAAUAAGGCCCGGCUAUCUACGUGCCAGCAGCCGCGGUAAAACGUAGGGGUCAAGGGUUAUCCGGAAUUUCUGGGCGUAAAGGGCGUGCAGGCGGCUUGCCAAGUCCGAUGUGAAAGCUCCCGGCUUAACUGGGAGAGGUCGUUGGAUACUGGUUGGCUUGAGGCAGUGAGAGGGAUACAGAAUUCCUGGUGUAGUGGUGGAAUGCGUAGAUAUCAGGAGGAAUACCAGUGGCGAAAGCGGUAUCCUGGCACUGUACUGACGCUCAUGUGCGAAAGCGUGGGGAGCGAACGGGAUUAGAUACCCGGGUAGUC
rnacentral:rRNA from 1 species